GACGAACGCUGGCGGCGUGCCUAAUACAUGCAAGUUGAGCGCUGAAGGUUGGUACUUGUACCAACUGGAUGAGCAGCGAACGGGUGAGUAACGCGUGGGGAAUCUGCCUUUGAGCGGGGGACAACAUUUGGAAACGAAUGCUAAUACCGCAUAAAAACUUUAAACACAAGUUUUAAGUUUGAAAGAUGCAAUUGCAUCACUCAAAGAUGAUCCCGCGUUGUAUUAGCUAGUUGGUGAGGUAAAGGCUCGCCAAGGCGAUGAUACAUAGCCGACCUGAGAGGGUGAUCGGCCGCAUUGGGACUGAGACACGGCCCAAACUCCUACGGGAGGCAGCAGUAGGGAAUCUUCGGCAAUGGACGAAAGUCUGACCGAGCAACGCCGCGUGAGUGAAGAAGGUUUUCGGAUCGUAAAACUCUGUUGGUAGAGAAGAACGUUGGUGAGAGUGGAAAGCUCAUCAAGUGACGGAAACUACCCAGAAAGGGACGGCUAACUACGU
rnacentral:rRNA from 1 species